rnacentral:tRNA from 1 species
GCCCUUGUGGUGGAACUGGUAGACGCAGCAGACUCAAAAUCUGCCGCCCGUAAGGGCAUGGGAGUUCGAUUCUCCCCGAGGGCACCA